CAGCCGCCACAGGAAGGAGAAGGCGGAACUCCCGGGGCGGGGAGUGGGGGCUUCUCCGGAAUGACAGCCACGCUUUCCCCAGUGAAGCCGGAAACCUUCUUUGCGACCCGCCCAGGGCGGCAGGGGGCGCCGCCCAUCCUUUCGGAGCCCCGGGCAGAGGAGCCAGUCGCGUGUGGGCGCGCGCUGCCCACCCCCUGCCAGGCUGGACCUGCAGAGGCGAUGCCGACCCCCGUGUCUGAGGAGCCGGCGGCGCUGCGCCCCGCGAUCCCGCUGCGGGGAGCGCCCUGGCACUCACCCCGCCCCGGCUUCCCGCCGGCGAGAGCUCGCAGGGGGAUGACAGGGACGAGACUCUGAUCAUUCACUUCACCCAGCUCGGCGGUUGGAGCUUGGAUCUCAGCCACCGUGUGCAGUAAGGACUCGGUUCCAGGAGGACUGCGACCCGCCUGCCCAGGUGUAGUUCACACCUCUCGGUCCAUUCACCUGCUCCUCUGCGCCUCCUUCCCGCUGGGUGCGCGGGUCGUCCGGCUUCAGGAUGGAUGGUGACCUUCCAAAAAAGGAAAAAGAUGGAAAAUCAUCAAAAUUAUCAUAAACUACUGCCAACUGAAUGUUUCUUUGUAGCAUGUGCAGAGUGGAGGGAAAUGAUAUUCCUGCAUUAUAUAAUCUACCAACAACCUACUUACCUACAGUCUUCUUAAUCUACGUUAUUCUUGAAAGCAGAACCUGAGACAGAGGCAGACAUAUUCUAUUUGGGAAUGUAAUCCCAGGGAGCAGGAAUGAGAGAGAGGAGUGAGAGGGGGGAAGGGGAGAGAAAAUUCAAGCAAAAUAAGGUAGUGUUAUCAAGUGUCCACCACUAUUAACAGUUUCUUAGUGAAGAACCUUCUCAGGAUUCUUACUAAAUUUUGUGUUGGAACUGUCUGCCUGAGGGUUGACAAGGAGAAGCAUUUAUCUCUCCGCACCCAUCUCCUGCAUGUUGAGAACUGCUCCUAUUGGUGUUAAUUCCCCAAGCCCUGUGGUUGCAAAGCUGGGAGAACCUCACUGGCAGAGCAUCACUCAUUGCCACAUCAGAGAAGCCUUGAGACAGGAAGCCAGAUCCUUGGUCCAAGCUUGAGUGAGGCACUGUCAGCACAGAAUAGGGGGAAACCUGCCCAGACUGUUCACCAGAGUGGUAGCUGGAAUUGGAGGUUGAAGAGAUGUGAGACAGUGCACAGCAGAUAUCGUAUAAGCCUACAGAUUGUGCUUUUAGCUGUGUCCAAAUCUAUUUUCUCUUUUCAAUAAUCAAAAUUUCAGUGUCCAGAACAAGGCUGGCAGAAGGGUUAAAUGAAAAGUUUAAAUGUGUUAGAAUAUGUACAUUAUAACAGUUUUAACCUUGAGGGAUUUUUGUAAGAAAUAGAACACGAACAUGCGAAAUACAACAUGAGAACUUGGAAAAUAAAAAAUUAUAUAUAUUGUACUUGAAAAAUUAGACUAUCGAAUAGAGAUACUAGAUAUCUUCUAAACUCAUGUAAUCUCAGAAAACAAUCAUGACUUGUUUGGAGAAAUAAAAUGAACCUUUUGUUGUGUCUC